rnacentral:rRNA from 1 species
UACGUAGGGUGCAAGCGUUGUCCGGAAUUAUUGGGCGUAAAGAGCUCGUAGGCGGUUUGUUGCGUCGGCUGUGAAAUCCCGAGGCUCAACCUCGGGUCUGCAGUCGAUACGAGCAAACUAGAGUGUUGCAGGGGGAGACUGGAAUUCCUGGUGUAGCGGUGAAAAUGCGCAGAUAUCAGGAGGGAACACCCGGUGGGCGAAAGGGCGGGGUCUCUGGG